GCUCGUACUUGAACCUNUGGAGCCUGGCUGGCCGGUCCGCCUCACCGCGUGUACUGGUCCGGCCGGGCCUUUCCCUCUGUGGAACCUCAUGCCCUUCACUGGGUGUGACGGGGAAACAGGACUUUUACUUUGAAAAAAUUAUAGUGCUCCAGGCAGGCCUAUGCUCAAAUACAUUANCAUGGAAUAAUGAAAUAGGACGUGUGGUUCUAUUUUGUUGGUUUCUAGGACCGCCGUAAUGAUUAAUAGGGACAGUCGGGGGCAUCAGUAUUCAAUUGUCAGAGGUGAAAUUCUUGGAUUUAUUGAAGACUAACUACUGCGAAAGCAUUUGCCAAGGAUGUUUUCAUUAAUCAGGAACGAAAGUUAGGGGAUCGAAGACGAUCAGAUACCGUCGUAGUCUUAACCAUAAACUAUGCCGACUAGGGAUCGGACGAUGUUAUUUUUUGACGCGUUCGGCACCUUACGAGAAAUCAAAGUGCUUGGGCUCCANGGGGAGUAUGGUCGCAAGGCUGAAACUUAAAGAAAUUGACGGAAGGGCACCACCAGGGGUGGAGCCUGCGGCUUAAUUUGACUCAACACGGGGAAACUCACCAGGUCCAGACACAAUGAGGAUUGACAGAUUGAGAGCUCUUUCUUGAUUUUGUGGGUGGUGGUGCAUGGCCGUUCUUAGUUGGUGGAGUGAUUUGUCUGCUUAAUUGCGAUAACGAACGAGACCUUAACCUGCUAAAUAGCCCGUAUUGCUUUGGCAGUACGCUGGCUUCUUAGAGGGACUAUCGGCUCAAGCCGAUGGAAGUUUGAGGCAAUAACAGGUCUGUGAUGCCCUUUAGAUGUUCUGGGCCGCACGCGCGCUACACUGAC
rnacentral:rRNA from 1 species